rnacentral:rRNA from 1 species
AAUGAACGCUGGCGGCGCGCCUAAUACAUGCAAGUCGAGCGAGAAGACGUAGCAAUACGUUUGUAAAGCGGCGAACGGGUGAGGAAUACAUGGGUAACCUACCCUCGAGUGGGGAAUAACUAGCCGAAAGGUUAGCUAAUACCGCGUACGCUCCUUGGACUUCGGUUCAGGGAGGAAAGCGAUACCGUGGGUAUCGCGCUCUUGGUUGGGCUCAUGUCCUAUCAGCUUGUUGGUGAGGAACGGCUCACCAAGGCUUCGACGGGUAGCUGGUCUGAGAGGACGAUCAGCCACACUGGCACUGCGACACGGGCCAGACUCCUACGGGGAGGCAGCAGUAAGGAAUAUUGCGCAAUGGGCGAAAGCCUGACGCAGCGACGCCGCGUGGGGGA